rnacentral:lncRNA from 1 species
CUUUUUUCUUUUUCUUCUUCUUUAUUAUUUUUUUUUAUUGCAUUAUUUUUUUGAAAAUAAACAUGCUAUGAUGCAAAUGAUGCAAACAUGACUGGUUGGUUGUGUAUCACGGAGCACAGGAUCAGAACUUCGGCAUCGGAACCGGAACCCACAAAUCAAAGUCAUAUGAAACCCAUGCUUCAGAACCAAGUCACUAACAAAAAACAAGAGUCACCAACAGAUACAGUCACCAACGGUACCUGUAAU